AAAGUCGUAACAAGGUCUCCGUAGGUGAACCUGCGGAGGGAUCAUCAUAGGAUAAACAUAACCAAGGGGGGAUGGUUUCGCUCAUUCAUGGCGGGGCUGUUUCUCCUUCAAACAAACGAUCGCAACGAGAGAUAGCUGGGGGGAUUUGGUUGAUUUGGCUUGGCUGAUUGCUUGCUUGCUUGCUCGCUCGCUUGACGCCUGGCCUGAUAAAAAAAGUGUUUGCCUGAAACAUAUGGUUGCCAGAUAGAUGAUUCUGGUGUUUGAAAUCAAAUACAACUUUCAACAACGGAUCUCUUGGCUCUC
rnacentral:misc_RNA from 1 species